AUGAAAAAGAUGCACAUUUAUAGGCCUCAAAGUCCUAUCUCCCGGGAGACCUCUGUCACCACUUCUGCUUCGCGGGGCCGAAGGCCCUUCGUCGGCCAACCAAUCACCCCGAAGCCCAGCAACCCACGUGACGGGCUCGCGCAGGCGCCUCGCCCGCCGACCGGGAGCUGGCGGCCGCAAUUCCCGCCUGGUCUGCUCCGCAGCCGCGGCGCUCAGCCGCUUGUCCACGCCUGUCGGUCCAGAGGCCUUUUUCCUCUGACCGGCGCACAGGGAGAGGGUGCCGCUGGCCUGUGGCCCCUCUCCACGCCUGUUUCUCCAUCAGCCCAGUCGUGGAGCGCCGAGUCUGCUGCAAUUCUGGCCUCCUUCUUGCGACCGCGGACAGGCCCUUCUUCGGCUUGUGCAGAGCGCCUUUCUUCCAGCGCUUCUCAUUUCUCUGUAGUUCCGCAGAUCUGCGUUUUGGAGGCUCUGCUCAUCUUCAAGGGGCGCACUCAGGAAAACGUGAACAUGGCUGUGUGGCCCAGGAGAAUUAGAAGAAAGGGCCACAAUCUGCCAGUUCCACGGAGUCAGGGAAGAAUGACCAUGAUGGCUCCACUGGAAAUGAUUUCAAAUCGCUGCAAUAGGUAAGGUCAUUAUUAAUGCAUGCUCAUCUACUUCAUUCGUCUAGUUUGAUUCCCUUCCAACACUGCUUUGUACUCAGCACUGUAACUAAAAACUCUAAUUUAUAUGGAAUAAAGGCCCUCUACCAUCUAGACCUGACCUUUCUGGAUCUUAUUCUAUUCUUCAUGUACCUGGUGCUCCAGCCUAGCUGAACUUGAUUGUUCCCCAGGAAGCCAUUAGCCAUGCUGUGCUAACUUCCUUUCUUUACUACAUUUUCAAUGUCUAGAAGGAUUUUUAAAUAGCAGCUUCUUUUCCUUUACCCACAAAUCCAAAUCCUACCAGUCUUUUAAAGCAGUGUUUCUCAAACCUGUAACAUAAAAGAAAUUCUUACAAUUCUAGAGAAUAUAUUUUCUGACAGGCAAGGGUCUAGAGACCACAGUUUGAAAAGCACUGAUAGAUGAAGCUAGAGAAACCUGAAGACCAAUUCUAUGAAAAUCUCUUUCAGUUGCAAAUUAUCACUUUUUUUUUUUUUUUUUUGGCAGUGCCCCUGGCAUGCACAGGUUCCCAGGCCAGGGAUCAAACCCUGUGCUGCAGCUGUAACCAGAGCUAUAGCAGUGACUCUGGGUCCUUAACCCAUUGAGCCAUGAGGGAAUGCUGCAAACUAUCACUUUUAAGAGUAUUUUUCUUUAUAAAUAAUAAAACAAUUUGUACGUUGUCAUUAAAGUGAAAACUAAAAUUUUAGGUAUCAAAGAACUCUAAUUGUUAUCUCCAGGUCUAGGAUCCCAGUUUGAGAAACACUUCUGUAAGGCACCACUUAAACACACUGACCCUGGAAAAUGUUCUUUCAUUACUCCAGGGAAAUAAAAUUUCCUCUUUUCUGAAUUAUUUAGUAUCUAAUCACUUUCUGCCCUGGAGUAGCUAAUAAUAUGUAGGCAAUAUUUUUUUUCUAGAAAAACCAUAAGCUCUUUGAAGGCAGGGACAAUACUUUAAUCAUUUUUUAACUCCACCAGUCCUUAGCAAAUAUUGGAUAUAAGGUCUGUAUUCCAUCUUAUUUCAUAGUCCAAAUCUCUUAAAAAGGUUUCACUCUUCUGUGGUACACAUGCACAGAACAAACCCUACUAUAUUACGGAAAUAGCUCUACUAUAAAUUUUAAAAAGUUCAGAAGUUGUCUUAAAUAUUAGGGAAAGUCCAAGUUAUAAAAUUCAAAAAUUUUAAAAGUGCCACAAAAUAUGUCUGCUCUGUAUUCAUAGUAACAGGAACAGUUUUUUUGAAUGACUAGUAGGUAAAUAAUUAAAAUUUUCAGGAUAAACAAAAAAAUCAAAAUGCAAGGUUAGUAGGAGAGGCCUUCUUAAUUUCUACAUGGUAUUAUAAAGAUCAUAUGUCCCUAAUUCAACUUUUAUUGAAUGUCCUCAAGUUUUCAACAAGUAUAUUUGAGGAAACUUCCUCGGACACUUUGGCGAGGAUUCAUUAAGUCAUCAGGAAUGCUAACAGGGGCUGGUUUUUACAGAGAAAAGUCUUCUCUCAUGUAGUAUUUAGAUGAGUCUGAGAUAGCACAUAGUGAAAGCAAAGAGCACUGGAGGAAUCCACUCUGUGUGUCACCUAGGCAAGCUGAAGUCAGUUCAUUUAAAAAUAAGUAAUGGAUUAUGGUUUACUAAGGUCUCUUUUAGAUGGCCCUAAGUAAAAAUGGCUUGAGAGAGGUUAUUUCUUUGGGCAGGACGGUUUAUUUUUCCCCGAGUAUAAAAAGGGCAAUAAACUCUGUAUCGAUAUUUGAGUCUUCCUACCGCCUGCCCUUUUUAGGGCUGAGUUAAGAAAAAACGGGUUGUUCCCUUUUUGGUGGGUCCUUCUACAAGAGGGCUCCUGGCCAGGUCCGGCCCCCACCCUCGAUAACUGCCCAAGGCCAAGCGACACUGGGGGCGAAGCUGGCCCCACGUCCCCACUCCCCAGUGGGAGCGGUGUGACUUGCGAAGGAGAUUAGUCCCUGGUCAUAAACAACCUCUCACUUCCCCUCCCCCGCCCCGGGCCCGCCCGCGCUGGGGCCGGCCCUCCGAGGCCCAUGGAACCUCCUCCGACGACCGCGGGCCUGCUCCCGACUCCUAACCAGGCGUUUGAUUGCUUUACUCAUCCCCUCCUCAUUCGCGCACCCGGGAAGGGGCUCGCUACAGCGACCUCCAGAUGGGCGCUCAGACCAGUCUCCAUCUCCCUUUCCCCGACCCCUAUCACCUCCAACAGCCAAGGAGAGGCCGCCAGCCCUGAUGCUCCGUAACUGUUCCCGGAGCCGGCCUCCAAGCUUCCCCCGCCCCUGGGCUGUUUGAAUAUGCUAAUAAGAAGCUAGGGACCAGCCAAUAGAACAGUGGGGCGGUGCAUCACGUGGCUCGAGGACGUGGCAGAAGGCGGAGCUUCUGCAGCCCCUGCCCGAGUUAAAACCGGAGUGUGAGAGAGAAAAGCGCUUCAGUAGCGAGAGGGGCUGAGAAAGUGGUGACACCGCCGGGGUGCGGAGGGAGUCCCUGAAACUUCUCCCAACAGCCCCAGGGCCAAUCUCCCCUCAGCCCACUCCCCUCGUCGCCAGCUCCCAGGUCCCCACUCCCUGCACCGGGGGUGGGGUAGGGAGCCAGGCCCGUCUCCCGCUGGGACACACACAGGGGGCGGGAGCGGGGGCGGGACGCCCGAGGCGGGG
ensembl:lncRNA